GAACAUCAAGCAUGCCGAGGGGUGCUGAGGACGGCCGACUGGGAGUCCCAAGGCAUACACAGAAGAGGGGGCUGCUGAGGAGGGGCAGGAGGGAUGACGUCACACAGGGCAAGUCCAGGACCCCCAGGAUAAGGUUCUGGGAGAUGAAGGGAAGCCUGGGAGUCUGGGCUCCUGUAACAAAUGAGUAAGCAGGAGCCAGAACUCUGAAGGCCCAUGAGCAUGAAGCUUCUCAGGCAUCAGGAACCCACCUGCAGGGGGACCAGCGCCACUAUGCCUGCGCCUCUCUAGUGCCAGCUUUGCCCCUGGACUUGACCCAGCACCGCUGCCAUGCUCUCACCAGCGACAAGGAUGUGUAGGCAUCUGGCCUCAGUGCUCAGCUUCGGGCGCUGGGGGAGGCCAGACCCAGGCUCGACUAUCUGCAGGGGGAAUCAAAAUGACCUCUCAGGAAAAAAAUGAUGCCAUUGUGUGACAAAAGUCAGGAAGGCUGAACGCUAUGUGAAUGCCAACCAGUCUAUCCGUGUUCACAAUCAGACCUACCAUCCCCACGCACAGGACGAUGUUGGUUUGACCUCAGCAGAAAUCAGAUCUGCUCUACAUGGUGAUGAUGAUAGCAAACAUAUGGAAUUGAUUAAAUGAAUAAAUAACCCUACUUAGUUUUGCAUAAGAAUAUGUGGU